UACGUAGGGGGCAAGCGUUAUCCGGAAUUACUGGGUGUAAAGGGUGAGUAGGCGGCAUGGUAAGCCAGAUGUGAAAGCCUUGGGCUUAACCCGAGGAUUGCAUUUGGAACUAUCAAGCUAGAGUACAGGAGAGGAUAGCGGAAUUCCUAGUGUAGCGGUGAAAUGCGUAGAUAUUAGGAAGAACACCAGUGGCGAAGGCGGCUUUCUGGACUGAAACUGACGCUGAGGCACGAAAGCGUGGGGAGCGAACAGG
rnacentral:rRNA from 1 species